GAACGGGUGCGUAACACGCGAGCAACCUACCGGAAAUGCCGGGGGAUAGCCGGCCUAACGGCCGAGUAAUACCGCAUACGCUCUUUAUGAGGCAUUUCAUGGAGAGGGAAACCUACGGGGUAUUUCGAGGGGCUCGCGGCCUAUCAGCUAGUUGGCGAGGUAACGGCUCACCAAGGCAACGACGGGUAGCUGGUCUGAGAGGAUGGCCAGCCACAUUGGGACUGAGAUACGGCCCAG
rnacentral:rRNA from 1 species